rnacentral:lncRNA from 1 species
GACUAAUCAAGUGCCCGACUUAUGUGAAAUUGUGAAGUCUCCACUUUGAUAACAGAUACUCACUAAGGCUUAUGCUAUGAUUGUGUUCAGUAAGGAAGCUACGGACGCUCUCCAAGAAGAUGAGGAAAGGAAAAUAUCAUUCACUGACCACAGGGUGAUCCAGAUGCAAGAUCAUCUGAAGUAA